UACGAAGGGGGCUAGCGUUGCUCGGAAUUACUGGGCGUAAAGGGCGCGUAGGCGGUCAUUUUAGUCAGGCAUGAAAUUCCCGGGCUUAACCUGGGGACUGCGCUUGAUACUGGGUGACUAGAGGGUGGAAGAGGGUCGUGGAAUUCCCAGUGUAGAGGUGAAAUUCGUAGAUAUUGGGAAGAACACCGGUGGCGAAGGCGGCGACCUGGUCCAUUACUGACGCUGAGGCGCGACAGCGUGGGGAGCAAACAGG
rnacentral:rRNA from 1 species